UGGGGAAUAUUGGACAAUGGGGGGAACCCUGAUCCAGCGACGCCGCGUGAGUGAAGAAGUAUUUCGGUAUGUAAAGCUCUAUCAGCAGGGAAGAAAAUGACGGUACCUGACUAAGAAGCCCCGGCUAACUACGUGCCAGCAGCCGCGGUAAUACGUAGGGGGCAAGCGUUAUCCGGAUUUACUGGGUGUAAAGGGAGCGUAGACGGUGCAGCAAGUCUGAUGUGAAAGGUCGGGGCCCAACCCCGGGACUGCAUUGGAAACUGUUGAACUGGAGUACAGGAGAGGUAAGCGGAAUUCCUAGUGUAGCGGUGAAAUGCGUAGAUAUUAGGAGGAACACCAGUGGCGAAGGCGGCUUACUGGACUGUAACUGACGUUGAGGCUCGAAAGCGUGGGGAGCAAACAGG
rnacentral:rRNA from 1 species